GGAGGGGUCUCCCCUGGCCCAAGCGGAGACUGCAGCCUCUUUCUGUCCUCCUGCAGUCCUGGAGCCCAUGAAGAAUGAUGUGGAGCCCUUGGUGUGUGAAGAGACUGCCCGCACCAUCCGGACUCUGAGGCAGCAUCUCCACUGGCUGCAACGCCCAUGGGAUCCGUGGUACAUGCUGGCGGUGCACUGCUGCUUGCCUCGAAGAUUGUGGCAGGUGCCAAAGCAGAAGCCUGAGCCCCAGAAGAAUCUGGAGGAAACUUCAGAAUCUGAAGACUCCUCCCUGGACUCAUCUCUGUGGAAGAGCACGGACAGCUCAGCCUCAUGCAGACCCUGAGCCCCGAGGACCCCAUCCCCGCCGUGCUACAGGACGUGGAGUGCCUGAAGAGAUGCAUCAGGAACACCAACUUCCACCUGCUCUGGAUCGCACUCAAAGGGCUGGUGGCGAUGCUGGGGAGGCCCAAGAUGGGGCCAACGGGGAUUAUCCUGCUGCCUGACGUCCUGAAAACCCUGCGGUUCGGCAACCCCCACAUCACGGCGGCGGCGCUGGCGGUGUGCUGCAGGGUCCUGCGCGCCCUGAUGAACAAGUCGGCCAGCAUCACUUCCCUGUGGCUGGUCGAUCUGCUCACGCCUUACUUGGACAACGUAAGGGGGGGGGGGGCGAGGCUCCUGCGGCACCCACCCCGUGCCACGGCUGGGCGGGCGAGGAUCACUCAGCCUCCGUCCUCCUCUUCCUCUUCCAGGAGGCCGACAUGGUGCGGGAGAA
rnacentral:lncRNA from 1 species